GUAUAUAUAAUUUAAAUAAAAUAUUAAACUGUGACUUUAAUUAUGAG
rnacentral:tRNA from 1 species